ACGGCUCAGUAACACGUGGCUAACCUACCCUCAGGACGGGGACAAACCCGGGAAACUGGGGCUUAAUAUCCGAUAGGCGAGGAAUCCUGGAAUGGUUCUUCACCCAAAGGGCAUUGGAAACAUGCUUUUCUCUGCGCCGGGGGAGGGCCGCGACCGAUCAGGUUGUUGGUGAGGUAAUGGCUCACCAAGCCUUUAACCGGUACGGGCCAUGAGAGUGGUAGCCCGGAGAUGGGUACUGAGACAAGGACCCAGGCCCUACGGGGCGCAGCAGUCGCGAAAACUCCGCAAUGCACGAAAGUGUGACGGGGCUACCCCGAGUGCCGUCCGCUGAGGAUGGCUUUUCCUUGGUGUAACUAGCCGGGGGAAUAAGGAGAGGGCAAGACUGGUGUCAGCAGCCGCGGUAA
rnacentral:rRNA from 1 species